CUAUAACCUAAACCUAAACUAUAACCUUAACCUAAACCUUAUCCUAAACCUAAACCUAAACCUUAACCUUAACCUUAACCUUAACCUAAACCUAAACCUAAACCUAAACCUUAACCUAUACUUAUGAAUUCUAAUUUAUUUUAUAAAAGUUCAUUUAAGACUAAGAUAUUUUCUUAAUAAGUUUAUUGCCUUAAUCUAUUAUUUACGAAACUGCAUGAUAAAUUUCACUUGGAUUUGAGUGUUCCGCACAUCUCCUAUGCCAUCGAUGACAUGAUGAAGGAGCGGUUCAAGGCUUACCGCGAAGAGGAGCAAAAUAAAUUCCGACAACAGGAGAAAGUUAGAAGUGAACCACGUAGCUGGUUCAAAGUUAUUUGUACGACUUUGUCACGACAUGGUAAGAAAUUACUGGUAAUUUAUAUAUUCUUUCCAUGCAUUUAUGUUAACUCUAUUUUUCUUUCGAUUGCGCAACGAGAUUCCAUCACUGGCUAGGAGCCCGGACCAGUAGACUUCUACAAAGGGACUCACUGUCGGCAGGCGAGUGGAUCUUGGAUACAUCCUAGAGCCAGCGAGAUUUGGGCGGCGAUGGACACCUUACGCAGUCAGCCCACUCCCGAUGGUACUCAGUGGAGUGAGCCAGAGAUCCUAAGUGAGGUUCUUGGCACCUGUUCUGGAUAUGUGCUUGGGCUUAGCCAUGGUGCCAAGCUCAUAACACUCGCUAGAGCUGCCUCCAGCUGAUCCGUCGUCAUUGGCGAGAGUGUCGUACACCGAGCUGAUACCGUAGAGAGAGAGGUUCAGUAGCUACGGGUUGUCGUCGAUGACAUCAGAGAUCAGCUGGAUAGGCAGAAGGAGGAGCAGGAGAGGAAGAUGAUGGAAGAGCUGACGAGGCAGAGGGAGGAGCAGGAGAGAAAGAUGGAGGAUCAGCAGGCGAGGCAGAGGGAGGAGCAGGAGAGGAAGAUGGAGUAGAUGUGGGUGGAGCAUGAGCGACGGAUGAUGGAGAUGUUUCAAGCUUUCACUGCACACUUACCCACCGAUGCCCCACCACCUUUGCCUUCAUCUUUAUGAUUUUUUCUUUUUUAUUUAUGAUGUUAAACUUAUAUGUAUUUAUACGUGAAUGAAUGUGAUGCGUAUAAGAUUGUUUGUGCUUGGAUGUAUGUAGUUUAUGUUUGGAUGGAUUUACUAGUUUGGGUUAGAUGGAUCUGAAUGUGAAUAUGAUGAAAUUUGACAGGUGUAUUAUGAUAUAACAGGUGUACAUCAGGAAAAAUAUGAUACAUAACAGGUGUAUAUCAGGAUGUGAAUAUGAAUAUGAUGAUAUAACAGGUAUAUCAGGAUGAAUAUGAUGAAAUAUAUUGCAACGGGUGUCUAUCAGGUAUUUUGUACGGAAUUUUGUAUUGGAUAUUU